ACGGAAGGCAGCAGUGAGGAAUAUUGGUCAAUGGACGAGAGUCUGAACCAGCCAAGUAGCGUGAAGGAUGACUGCCCUAUGGGUUGUAAACUUCUUUUGUUCGGGAAUAAAGUCAGGGACGUGUCCCUGUUUGUAUGUACCGUUCGAAUAAGCAUCGGCUAAUUCCGUGCCAGCAGCCGCGGUAAUACGGAAGAUGCGAGCGUUAUCCGGAUUUAUUGGGUUUAAAGGGAGCGUAGGCGGUCUGUUAAGUCAGCGGUUAAAUGUCAGUGCCCAACAUUGGCAUGCCGUUGAAACUGUCGGACUUGAAUACACACAAGGAAGGUGGAAUUCGUCGUGUAGCGGUGAAAUGCUUAGAUAUGACGAAGAACUCCGAUUGCGAAGGCAGCCUUCUGGGGUGCGAUUGACGCUGAGGCUCGAAAGUGCGGGAAUCAAACAGGAUUAGAUACCCUGGUA
rnacentral:rRNA from 1 species